rnacentral:rRNA from 1 species
AGCCCAGAGCCUGAAUCAGUGUGUGUGUUAGUGGAAGCGUCUGGAAAGGCGCGCGAUACAGGGUGACAGCCCCGUACACAAAAAUGCACAUGCUGUGAGCUCGAUGAGUAGGGCGGGACACGUGGUAUCCUGUCUGAAUAUGGGGGGACCAUCCUCCAAGGCUAAAUACUCCUGACUGACCGAUAGUGAACCAGUACCGUGAGGGAAAGGCGAAAAGAACCCCGGCGAGGGGAGUGAAAAAGAACCUGAAACCGUGUACGUACAAGCAGUGGGAGCACAGAGCAAUCUGUGUGACUGCGUACCUUUUGUAUAAUGGGUCAGCGACUUAUAUUCUGUAGCAAGGUUAACCGAAUAGGGGAGCCGAAGGGAAACCGAGUCUUAACUGGGCGUUAAGUUGCAGGGUAUAGACCCGAAACCCGGUGAUCUAGCCAUGGGCAGGUUGAAGGUUGGGUAACACUAACUGGAGGACCGAACCGACUAAUGUUGAAAAAUUAGCGGAUGACUUGUGGCUGGGGGUGAAAGGCCAAUCAAACCGGGAGAUAGCUGGUUCUCCCCGAAAGCUAUUUAGGUAGCGCCUCGUGAAUUCAUCUCCGGGGGUAGAGCACUGUUUCGGCAAGGGGGUCAUCCCGACUUACCAACCCGAUGCAAACUGCGAAUACCGGAGAAUGUUAUCACGGGAGACACACGGCGGGUGCUAACGUCCGUCGUGAAGAGGGAAACAACCCAGACCGCCAGCUAAGGUCCCAAAGUCAUGGUUAAGUGGGAAACGAUGUGGGAAGGCCCAGACAGCCAGGAUGUUGGCUUAGAAGCAGCCAUCAUUUAAAGAAAGCGUAAUAGCUCACUGGUCGAGUCGGCCUGCGCGGAAGAUGUAACGGGGCUAAACCAUGCACCGAAGCUGCGGCAGCGACGCUGAUGCGUUGUUGGGUA